CAGCCGCCGCGGUAAUACAGAGGAUGCAAGCGUUAUCCGGAAUGAUUGGGCGUAAAGGGCUCGCAGGCGGUUUCUUAAGUCUGAUGUGAAAGCCCCCGGCUCAACCGAGGAGGGUCAUUGGAAACUGGGAAACUUGAGUGCAGAAGAGGAGAGUGGAAUUCCACGUGUAGCGGUGAAAUGCGUAGAGAUGUGGAGGAGCACCAGUGGCGAAGGCGACUCUCUGGUCUGUAACUGACGCUGAGGAGCGAAAACGUGGGGAGCGAACAGGAUUAGAUACCCCCGUAGUCCCUGUCUCUUAUAC
rnacentral:rRNA from 1 species